UGUGUGUGUGUGUGUGUGUGUGUGUGUGUGUGAGAGAGAGAGAGAAAGUGACAGUUGAGAUUCAAAUUCAUGAACAUUCCGCCAUUUUAAGUCUAUGGGAUUUUUUUGCCUGCUUUUUCGUCCGCUGUGAGAACAUCGUAGGUCCGAUCGCUUAGAAAAGAUACAGCACUCUUCUCCUCAAUGAGCCGGUCGAUUUGACACCUCAUUCAUGGGUCUAUGAUAAACGGUGAAUGAACUUAACUCAUCUUUAUUUUUUCUGUGUUUUCUCUGCAGUCUUUCCAGCUGUGGUAUUACAGAGAAAGGCUUUGCUGCUCUGAGUUCAGCUCUGAGAUCAAACCCCUCACACCUGACUGAACUGGAUCUGAGCUGUACUACACCAGGAGACUCAGGAGCGAAGCUGCUUUCUGCUCUACUGGAGGAUCCACACUGUAAACUGGAGAAACUAGAGCUGUAUAACUGCAGUAUUGGAGAGGAAGGCUGUGCUGCUCUGAUUUCAGCUCUGAGAUCAAACCCCUCACACCUGACAGAACUGGAUCUGAGAUAUAAUAAUCCAGGAGACUCAGGAGAGAAGCUGCGCUCUGCUCUACUGGAGGAUCCACACUGUAAACUGAAGAAACUACAUAUUUGACAGGGAAACUCCACAAGCUCCAAACAAGUGAAUCAAAACAACACGUCCUGAACAAGACUGUCUCCUGGACAUUAAUGCUGAUACUGAUCCAGCAGUUUCAUAUGUGAAGGGAUUUGUUAUUAAUUUUCAUUCAGCCUACAUUUUUUUCAGUCUCAUGGGAACAUUUUUUAAAAUAAGUAGAUUGGACAUACUAACUGCACUGUAAAUGUUUAGUGUGAAAUUACAGUAUAUUCCAGGUUAAUAACUGCAUGACUUUCACAGUAAUUUCACAGCGGGACUUCUCUUGUAUCUAACUGCACUCUCAGAAAUUUAUUGUAAACAAACAGCAUCAUACUGUGUUUCUACAGUUCAUAUGUACGAUGAAGGUUCCCAGCAUGCAAUGCAGCACGAACAGAUCAUGCUGUAGAGUUUUUAAUUCUUGUUGGUUUUAUUUAUGCUGUUGAACUUGUUUUUUUGUUUUGUUUUUUUGGUUCACUUUGAGCAGUUUGUGUUGUUGGUUUAUUUUGUAAUGUUGGUUUAUGAUGUAAGUGUUGUUUUUAUUUGUUGAGUGUUACUGUUGUUGUGUUUUGUAUGUCGAGUAUUUUUGUCACAUCUUUCAAAGACGUUUCUCAGCAGGUGGUUCAUUAUUGUGAAAAAUCCAUCCACAAAUAUUUAUGAAUAUGAAACAAGUUAUUGGUUAAUCCUUUUAAGUAAUGCUAAAAUAAAAUAUUUGUUUAUCCGAAGAAUAUUCAUAUUCUAGUUUUUCAUCAUUUUAACAAAUGUUUUCAUUUGUCGCACUUCUGACAUGACUAGAUCAGAAAUUUGAAUAUGAAUAUGCGAGGUCAAAUAACCCUAACAAAUACUAAUCAAUAAUCACCAUUAUGGUGACUUCAAAGCAAUUACAGUAGUAAACAACUAAAUUUCUCACAGUUGCACAGUGAAAGACAGCUUUAUAAUGUGAAUUCACAGUAAAACAAGAGCAGUAACUUACUGUGAUGUUAGCAUCAUUCUGCUGUUCAUUCAGUCAUUUGUAAGAAAAUUACCCAGCAUGCAUUGAUUUCACAUUUCUGAAAACAGUAAUAUAUUGUAAAAUAAUACUCUAAUCCUGUAAAUUCCCGGCAAUUUUUUACAGUGAAGAUAGAUAGAUAGACUUUGUAUAUGUUAGGAUUUUGUAUAUUGUGAUUAUGUAGUUGUAAUGAAAUUCAUGGCCAUAUUGAGGUCCCCCACUUAAAAUUUCCAAUUAAUCAUUUAUUUAUUUUUUGUUUUGUUGAUUGUUUGUUUUUUGUAUCUUCAUGAAAAUUGUUUAUAUUGUUAAUACGUAGUAAGCAUGGAAAUCGUGACAUAACUUAGACUUUUUUACUUAAGUGGGUUUAACGUAUUUUUCUAAAUACAGUACAUUAUAAUAUAAGCCUGAAGAUGAUAAGAAAAUUCAUUAAAUUUAAUUCUAGAAA